rnacentral:tRNA from 1 species
UAGCCAAGUGCUUAAGGCUAUGGAUCGCUAAUCCGAAGACGGCGGGUUCGAUUCCCGC